CACUAUGCUUAGCCCUAAACAUUGGCAGUAUACUACACCUACUACCCGCCUGGGAACUACGAGCAUCAGCUUGAAACCCAAAGGACUUGGCGGUGCUUUAGAUCCACCUAGAGGAGCCUGUUCUAGAACCGAUAACCCCCGUUCAACCUCACCUUUCUUGGUUUCCCCCGCCUAUAUACCACCGUCGUCAGCUUACCCUGUGAAGGCCCUAUAGUAAGCAAAAUUGGCAUAGCCCAAAACGUCAGGUCGAGGUGUAGCGUAUGGAAAGGGAAGAAAUGGGCUACAUUCCCUAACACAGGGAAUACGAACGAUAUACUGAAAUACAUAUCUGAAGGAGGAUUUAGCAGUAAGCAGAAAAUAGAGCGUUCCGCUGAAAUUGGCCCUGAAGCGCGCACACACCGCCCGUCACUCUCCCCGAAAUCAUAAAAUUAAAUAACUAAAACCCUACAACUACGAAGGGGAGGCAAGUCGUAA
rnacentral:rRNA from 1 species